CUACCCUUGACAUGUCAGGAAUCCUGCAGAGAUGUGGGAGUGCCCGAAAGGGAGCCUGAGCACAGGUGCUGCAUGGCUGUCGUCAGCUCGUGUCGUGAGAUGUUGGGUUAAGUCCCGCAACGAGCGCAACCCUUGUCGUUAGUUGCUACGAAAGGGCACUCUAAUGAGACUGCCGGUGACAAACCGGAGGAAGGUGGGGAUGACGUCAAGUCCUCAUGGCCCUUAUGGGUAGGGCUUCACACGUCAUACAAUGGUACAUACAGAGGGCUGCCAACCCGCGAGGGGGAGCUAAUCCCAGAAAGUGUAUCGUAGUCCGGAUUGGAGUCUGCAACUCGACUCCAUGAAGUUGGAAUCGCUAGUAAUCGCGGAUCAGCAUGUCGCGGUGAAUACGUUCCCGGGUCUUGUACACACCGCCCGUCACACCAUGGGAGCGGGUUUUACCAGAAGUAGUUAGCCUAACCGCAAGGAGGGCGAUUACCACGGUAGGAUUCGUGACUGGGGUG
rnacentral:rRNA from 1 species